AUUGAACGCUGGCGGCAUGCCUUACACAUGCAAGUCGAACGGCAGCACGGGUGCUUGCACCUGGUGGCGAGUGGCGAACGGGUGAGUAAUACAUCGGAACAUGUCCUGUAGCGGGGGAUAGCCCGGCGAAAGCCGGAUCAAUACCGCAUACGAUCUACGGACGAAAGCGGGGGACCUUCGGGCCUCGCGCUAUAGGGUUGGCCGAUGGCUGAUUAGCUGGUUGGUGGGGUAAAGGCCUACCAAGGCGACGAUCAGUAGCUGGUGUGAGAGGACGACCAGCCACACUAGGACUGAGACACGGCCCAGACUCCUACGGGAGGCCGCAGUGGGGAAUUUUGGACAAUGGGCGAAAACCUGGUCCAGCAAUGCCACGUGUGUGGAGAAGGCCUUCGGGUUGUAAAGCACUUUUGUCCGGAAAGAAAUCCUUGGCCCUAAUACGGUCGGGGGAUGACGGUACCGGAAGAAUAAGCACCGGCUAACUACGUG
rnacentral:rRNA from 1 species